AUUGAACGCUGGCGGCAGGCCUAACACAUGCAAGUCGAACGGAGCGGAGGACGGGCGAGUAAGGCCUAGGAAUCUGCCUGGGAGUGGGGGAUAACGUCCGGAAACGGGCGCUAAUACCGCAUCCUAUCAGAUGAGCCUAGGUCGGAUUAGCUAGUUGGUGGGGUAAAGGCCUACCAAGCCGACGAUCCGUAACUGGUCUGAGAGGAUGAGCAGCCACACUGGAACUGAGACACGGUCCAGACUCCUACGGGAGGCAGCAGUGGGGAAUAUUGCACAAUGGGCGAAAGCCUGAUCCAGCCAUGCCGCGUGUGUGAAGAAGGUCUUCGGAUUGUAAAGCACUUUAAGUUGGGAGGCGUUACCAACAGAAUAAGCACCGGCUAACUUCGUGCCAGCAGCCGCGGUAAUAC
rnacentral:rRNA from 1 species